AACAUGUCUCAGGAGCCAGUUUCCUCAACUAUCCGAUGAAGCGUUUUGUGGGAAGAAUGAGGAUUAUAACAAUGUUAUCACAAAUUCAGAGAGUAUCUGUUUCUCCGCCAAGAAGUGGACUAAACCCUUUUGUUCAGAAAAUAUCUGAUAAUAAUAUCUCUGUGCGUGAAUAGAGUGGGAGUCCCAUAAGAUGUGUUGAUGAAUUCUUAGUUGAUGUUUCAAACUCAGAAUCUGGUUAUCUUUCAAACUCAACUAAUACCAGCCUAAAAGUAGCUGAUAGUAUUCCUCAAUCUCCUAAUAGUGCUGGAGAUUCAAAGGAAUUUGACGCUAACAUUGCAAGUAAAGAUGCAAGACAAGUCGAGAUUCCAGAAGAUGCAGCCCGUGUUGUUGUAGAGCAAGCUGAAAAGGAUAAUAAGGGAAACUCCCCAUACAAUCAGAAAGAUAUUGUGGUUUGCAGUACCAAUACUGAUCCUGAUCUUCCACCUACCGAUUUAUGUACAGAGAUUGUUCCCUACUUGCCUGCUCAUAGUUCAUCGCAUUAUUAUUAUGGUGACUUACACAUGGCUCUGCUUCCAGGGAUUGACCGCACUAUGUUGGAUGAAGCUUCUAAUAUACAGAUCAAAUCAUUGGAGACUGCACGUGAUUGCAGAAAUGAUAGUGAUAAGAUUAGCACAAUGCCAGUUGCAUCAGAUGAAAGCAUUGUGGCAGCAUGAUUCUCAAACCAAGGUCGUGCUGGGUAGCUUGAAGCUGCUUAUGAGUUGUUAUUAACGAUACCUAUUAAGGCCAAUUCUGUAGUAUGGAGAGCAUUCUUGGCUGCCUCCCGUCUCCACGGUAAUGCAGAUCUUGCUGAGGUGUCUGUCAAACAGCAUCAGCUUAACCACCUGGGGCUGGGGGAUAUGUAAUGCAACUAAGGACUAUGCUUCUCCUUUUGAUGAUGAUGAAUGAUGAUGGUCAUGGAACGAAAACCCGCAGCCGUAAGUGGUUUGCGUAAGAAGUUGUUUAAAGGUUAGACCUUUUCUGCUGGUGGUGGUGUGAAGAAAGAGGAAGGACGUGGAAAGAAAGCUUUAAUGGAGGUUAAAGGGAAUACUUGGACAUUAGGGAUGGUGCUAAGAAGUGAGAGGGAGCUGUUUGAGUAUGAAUAAGGAGCAGGAAGAUCAGAUUGUUGAGCUUAAGUUGAUGCUUGAGGAGAAAAAUCGAGAGGUUGAGAAGCUUAAGGAUUUGUGCUUAAAGCAAAGGGAAGAGAUAAAGUCACUGAGGAUGUUAUGAAUUCUCAAGUUCAGGAUCUUUUGGAAAAGCAGCUUAUACCGAAUCUUCAAAGGCAGGUUACUUCUCUUACAGGGCAACUACAAUGCCUAGCCGAAGAUCUUGCUGAGGCCAAGGAUACUGUAAUUUUCACAGGUCAAAGCAGACAAAUAUGCUAUAAGAGGAAGCUACGACUGAGACUUGGUGGAACUUUAAAUAUUAGUGAUACUAACAAUUAGGACACGGGUUCAGUUUUUUCUUUUUUUUUUUUUUUUUUUUUUUUUUACUGCUUUGUAAAUGUUGUUAAGUUUUCCACUAUUUACUCACUUUAGAUAAUGGUAGCUAAUUGUUAGGGCAUUACUAGCUAGUUUCUUUUUACUGGU